rnacentral:rRNA from 1 species
UACAGAGGGUGCGAGCGUUAAUCGGAGUUACUGGGCGUAAAGGGCGCGUAGGCGGUUUAAUAAGAUUGAUGUGAAAGCCCUGGGCUUAACCUAGGAACUGCAUCGAUGACUGUUAGCUAGAGUAUUGUAGAGGGUAGUGGAAUUUCCGGUGUAGCGGUGAAAUGCGUAGAGAUCGGAAGGAACACCAGUGGCGAAGGCGGCUACCUGGACAAAUACUGACGCUGAG